GAUCGUUUUGGAAGCUAAGCAGGGUCCACCCGGGUUUCCUCUUGGAUGGGUUCCCUAACAUGAGUUGUAUGGGGUUGUAACCAGGAGGGGGAUUUUUACCCAAAUCGCAUUUUUUUUUCCCCCAAAAUUGCUAACCCAUAUGCAGGGGGGUGUAGGGGUUAAUUAUUGCCCCCCAGGGCAAUUAAUUGCAAUUAAUUAGGGGUUAUUACCCCCAGAUCGUUUUGGAAGCUAAGCAGGGUCCGCCCCGGUUUCCUCUUGGAUGGGUUCCCCAACGCGAUCUCUACCGGGUUGUAACCGGGGCUUGGAACUUCACCAAAAAAUGCCUUUUUUCCCCCAAAAAUGAAUUUCUAACCCAAUUUUUUUAAAUUUUUUACCUCUUUUAGGUGCGAAGGCCGCCCCCGACGGAGGAACCGAGCGCGGCCAAGCGCCUGCUGAUCCUGCUGCUGGCCGUGGAGCUGCCCAGGACGGCGGUGACAACGUGCCCACCCAACGGGACCCUCGUAAGGACGCACUUGGGGGCACCCAUGGGUGCCUCCUGCCCGCUGCUGCUGUCGCCCACCCUGGACCCCCCCAACGGCACGGCCGGGGGGGCUGCCCGCUGAUGGGGACCACCCGGGACCCUCC
rnacentral:lncRNA from 1 species